UACGAAGGGGGCUAGCGUUGUUCGGAAUUACUGGGCGUAAAGUGCACGUAGGCGGAUUUGUAAGUCAGGGGUGAAAUCCCGGGGCUCAACCUCGGAACUGCCUUUGAUACUGCAAGUCUCGAGUCCGAUAGAGGUGAGUGGAAUUCCUAGUGUAGAGGUGAAAUUCGUAGAUAUUAGGAAGAACACCAGUGGCGAAGGCGGCUCACUGGAUCGGUACUGACGCUGAGGUGCGAAAGCGUGGGGAGCAAACAGG
rnacentral:rRNA from 1 species